AUGAAGGUCUUCGGAUUGUAAACUCCUGUUGCUCGGGACGAAAAGCUCCGACCUAAUACGUCGGAGUCUGACGGUACCGGGUGAGGAAGCCCCGGCUAACUCUGUGCCAGCAGCCGCGGUAAUACAGAGGGGGCAAGCGUUGUUCGGAAUUACUGGGCGUAAAGGGCGCGUAGGCGGCCUGUUAAGUCGAACGUGAAAUCCCCGGGCUCAACCCGGGAACUGCGUCCGAUACUGGCAGGCUUGAAUCCGGGAGAGGGAUGUGGAAUUCCAGGUGUAGCGGUGAAAUGCGUAGAUAUCUGGAGGAACACCGGUGGCGAAGGCGGCAUCCUGGACCGGUAUUGACGCUGAGGCGCGAAAGCCAGGGGAGCAAACGGGAUUAGAUACCCCGGUAGUCCUGGCCCUAAACGAUGAAUGCUUGGUGUGGCGGGUAUCGAUCCCUGCCGUGCCGAAGCUAACGCAUUAAGCAUUCCGCCUGGGGAGUACGGUCGCAAGGCUG
rnacentral:rRNA from 1 species